CAGUAGCCGCGGUAAUACGAAGGGCGCAAGCGUUACUCGGAAUUACUGGGCGUAAAGCGUGCGUAGGUGGUGGUUUAAGUCCGUUGUGAAAGCCCUGGGCUCAACCUGGGAAUUGCAGUGGAUACUGGAUCACUAGAGUGUGGUAGAGGAUAGUGGAAUUUCCGGUGUACCAGUGAAAUGCGUAGAGAUCGGAAGGAACAUCUGUGGCGAAGGCGACUAUCUGGGCCAACACUGACACUGAGGCACGAAAGCGUGGGGAGCAAACAGGAUUAGAUACCUCGGUAGUCCCUGUCUCUUAUAC
rnacentral:rRNA from 1 species